CAGAGAUUGUGAAAAAUAUAUUCUUUGCAAUCACUUACGAUUUAGGUGCUUCUCUAAAAAGGCAAUCUAGAAUAUAUUAAAAAAAAUUUUUUAGACAGAAAUCACAUAUUCCGUUGUUUAUGGUCAUUAACUGUUCUUACUCGCUAUAACCAAUUUAUAUUAUAUAUAACAAUGCUGCAAUAGUAUACAGAGUUUCAAUAGACAAGGGACCUUAGGUUUUUUUUAGUUCCGUUUACAUUCUUAAAAGAAGAAAAAAGUAUUUUAUGGUGUAAUGCAUAAAGUCAAAUAUUUUGUUGGUUGAAAAAUAUAUAUGUAUAUAUGGAUAAUACAUAACAAAUUUACUGUGUACGCGAAACUUUUAAUAAAAAAUGUUUCUAAUUUGAAUUUUGGUCACAGACAUAUUCGGCAUCUUUAAUAAUAUCUUCAAAUUGUACAAUGUGAAAAAGGUACGUAUACUUUUCAGUAACAUUUAAUAGUGCAUUCCAUAUUGAGAUUAGUGGAAACCUACAAGCGAUCAGUGCAGCGGCGUCGCUACGAUCAUCAAACAUUGGAAGGGAUUGUAUCCAGCAUCCCGCAGCCUCAAUAAUUUACAUCGUGAAAGGAGUCCGUUUAGCAUAUAUGGCCAGAGCAGUGACAAUGAUCGUCGGUAUGGCUACGAUUGUUGGCCUGGAUCAAGUCAAAUGACCCAAAUCCAUUAACUCCAAAAAAUUGACGAGAACUUUAAGUUUUGGGGGCCGCAGUGACCAUGCGCACCCACCCAACCUAGGAUGCCCGGAUUUAACGGACAUAACCCACUAUCGAUACUUCGGCGUCGCCUCAGACGACUACGACCAUCUCCAUCUACCCCACAGUGAACACUCACUCAGACAUUCUGGCUGCAAUCACCCUUAUCGUCGACUGCUUUUAAAACGGUCAAAGUGACCGAACUUGGCUUCUACAACGAUCUGUGUACUGAUCUCGUUGCACCUUCCAUCUGUGAACCUAACUUGCCGUCUUAUCCUCGUAAUUGUUACUCGGGCAGCCAGCUGGUCCGCCAGUUUUUCGCUGUCGAUCGUGGCCUUGUAUGAGUCCCCAACAAUCGUCACCGUUGCCGACAACUGCUGCUCCUUUUCGAUUAAUUAGAGAGGUGGCACCUGCUUGCCUCUGCGCCUAAGAUCGCUGUCAAUUUCCCGCAAAUAAACAAAGAAUUAGUGAUUAUGUAUUUUUCGAGAUUCGAGAUUUCAUCGCUCAGAAUUAAAGUGGGGCAAGUUUGACGGAAAAUUGUUCCCGUAUUUUCUUUAUAUGUAUACCCGUUACUCGUAGAUUCGUUGAAAAGUAGAAAAAAG